AAUAUUUUCCAUACCUCUGAAUGAAAAUCAAACAAAAAUUAACAAAAGCACAAUGGCAUAUGAGAUAAAUAUACCUGCAUGUUAGUCUUAGGUUCUGAUACAAAUGGCAUGCCAUUGUGCUGCCAUUUUUGUACUGUCAGGACUUGACUGGUGUGCGGACACU
rfam:Myotis brandtii contig199440, whole genome shotgun sequence.